GCUGCUAUUUGAAAAUGAGUGACUACUUUCAAUAUGCUACAGUGGAAAUGGAGCUCUCAAAUUAAAACUCAAAUUACUUGUCUCAUCGUUAAUACAUGAACUAUUUGGAUACUAUAAUAGUUGCUGUCCACGACUGGACUAAACAAUAAAAUAUUACCAGACCUGAAGUUUCUGUUAUAGCAUGUCCUAUCUCUGGCCAAACCAUGUCAAUCAACUUCCCAGGAUCCUUGUUCACAGCUCUCUCCCUUCUCUGCGAAGGCCCCAGGUUUUCCUUCUUCAGAAAAAUUACACAGUAUUACUUGAUUAAUGACCUACUUAAUUGGACAUUACAUGUGAGUUUGAGUUUUUCUUUUAUUAAUGU
rnacentral:lncRNA from 10 species